rnacentral:rRNA from 1 species
AUUGAACGCUGGCGGCAUGCCUUACACAUGCAAGUCGAGCGGGGUUUUCGGACCUAGCGGCGGACGGGUGAGUAAUGCGUAGGAAGCUACCCGAUAGAGGGGGAUACCAGUUGGAAACGACUGUUAAUACCGCAUAAUGUCUACGGACCAAAGUGUGGGACCUUCGGGCCGCAUGCUAUCGGAUGCGCCUACGUGGGAUUAGCUAGUUGGUGGGGUAAUGGCUCACCAAGGCGACGAUCCCUAGCUGGUUUGAGAGGAUGAUCAGCCACACUGGAACUGAGACACGGUCCAGACUCCUACGGGAGGCAGCAGUGGGGAAUAUUGGACAAUGGGCGCAAGCCUGAUCCAGCCAUGCCGCGUGUGUGAAGAAGGCCUUCGGGUUGUAAAGCACUUUCAGUAGGGAGGAAGGGUGUUGUGUUAAUAGCACAGCAUUUUGACGUUACCUACAGAAGAAGCACCGGCUAACUCUGUGCCAGCCGCCGCCGUAAGAC